rnacentral:rRNA from 1 species
UACGUAGGGUGCAAGCGUUGUCCGGAAUUAUUGGGCGUAAAGAGCUCGUAGGCGGUUCGUCGCGUCGGCUGUGAAAUCCCGGAGCUCAACUCCGGGUCUGCAGUCGAUACGGGCGGACUUGAGUUCGGCAGGGGAGACUGGAAUUCCUGGUGUAGCGGUGAAAUGCGCAGAUAUCAGGAGGAACACCGGUGGCGAAGGCGGGUCUCUGGGCCUGUACUGACGCUGAGGAGCGAAAGCGUGGGGAGCGAACAGG